rnacentral:rRNA from 1 species
UCCGCCAGGGAACUACAAGCGCCAGCUUAAAACCCAAAGGACUUGACGGUGUCUCAGACCCACCUAGAGGAGCCUGUUCUAGAACCGAUAAUCCCCGUUCAACCUCACCACCCCUUGUCCCCUCCCGCCUAUAUACCGCCGUCGCAAGCUUACCCUGUGAAGGUUUAACAGUAAGCAAAAUGGGCAGACCCCAGAACGUCAGGUCGAGGUGUAGCUCACGAGGUGGAAAGAAAUGGGCUACAUUUUCUACCACAGAAAACUACGGACGACACCAUGAAACCGGUGUCCCAAGGUGGAUUUAGCAGUAAAAG